UACAGAGGUCUCAAGCGUUGUUCGGAUUUAUUGGGCGUAAAGGGCGUGUAGGUGGCGCCGUAAGUCGGGUGUGAAAUUUCGGAGCUUAACUCCGAAACUGCAUUCGAUACUGCGGUGCUUGAGGACUGGAGAGGAGACUGGAAUUCAUGGUGUAGCAGUGAAAUGCGUAGAGAUCAUGAGGAAGACCAGUGGCGAAGGCGGGUCUCCGGACAGUUACUGACACUGAGACACGAAGGCCAGGGGAGCAAACGGG
rnacentral:rRNA from 1 species